rnacentral:lncRNA from 1 species
CUGAAUUUAAUUAGUGGAAUAUCUUAGUAGCUUAUCUCAGGUUCUCUUGGGAAGUCUAAGUUGUUACACACCGGCAACUACCAGUGACAAAGCUGGCACAUCCUACCAGCCCACAGGAACCCACUCAUGCUACUUCCUAUAAGACUCAUAUCUGCACUGCACUUAGUCAGGAAAAAUAUCCUGCCACAUUACAUGACAUUACUAGUACUCUUAGCAGGUGAAUAGAAUAACUCAGAAGACAGUGGAACUGCAUGUGUAGUUGUAUAUGCAGCAUCCAGAGCAUUCUUCCUAAAGCAGUUUCUGGAUAUGAUGUAAGCAGAGAAUAUCCAUUCAAAGAGAUCAGAACCUUUUCAGAACGUUUUGUAACAAUAAGUGAAAUCUUUCUUAAAAGAAUUGAUUUUUCAACCUGAGAAGAAACUGAAAUGUUUCAUUGCUCACGGAGGAGGAUGAAGUGUGAGCAAAACACCACGAGAGGGAGAUGUUGGAAGCAGUAAAGCUGUCGUUUUCCUCAUUAAGCAGCGCAUUACUUUUUGCAGACACUCAGGUAACGUUGUAAAACGUUCAGAAGCUCGCAGCAUCUUUACAACAGAAGGUUUUUUUUUUUUUUUUUUUUCUGGGAGGAAACUCACCUGAAAGGUUAGCAAACAAUUCUGUGGGAAAAAAAAUAAAAAAAAUAAUA